ACUUCCUCUUUAUUCUUGUGUUCUCCAUCCUACAUCUACUUCCUCUUUCUUCUUGUGUUCUCCAUCCUACAUCUACUUCCUCUUUCUUCUUGUGUUCUCCAUCCUACAUCUACUUCCUCUUUUUUCUUCUGUGCUCUCCAUCAUAUAUCUACUUCAUCUUUAUUCUUGUGUUCUCCAUCCUACAUCUACUUCCUCUUUAUUCUUGUGUUCUCCAUCCUACAUCUACUUCCUCUUUCUUCUUGUGUUCUCCAUCCUACAUCUACUUCCUCUUUCUUCUUGUGUUCUCCAUCCUACAUCUACUUCCUCUUUAUUCUUGUGUUCUCCAUCCUACAUCUACUUCCUCUUUAUUCUUGUGUUCUCCAUCCUACAUCUACUUCCUCUUUAUUCUUGUGUUCUCCAUCCUACAUCUACUUCCUCUUUAUUCUUGUGUUCUCCAUCCUACAUCUACUUCCUCUUUCUUCUUGUGUUCUCCAUCCUACAUCUACUUCCUCUUUCUUCUUGUGUUCUCCAUCCUACAUCUACUUCCUCUUUCUUCUUCUGUGCUCGCCAUCCUAUAUCUACUUCAUCUUUAUUCUUGUGUUCUCCAUCCUACAUCUACUUCCUCUUUAUUCUUGUGUUCUCCAUCCUACAUCUACUUCCUCUUUAUUCUUCUGUGUUCUCCAUCCUACAUCUACUUCCUCUUUCUUCUUCUGUACUCUCCAUCCUACAUCUACUUCCUCUUUAUUCUUCUGUGUUCUCCAUCCUACAUCUACUUUCUCUUUCUUCUUCUGUGCUCUCCAUCCUACAUCUACUUCCUCUUUAUUCUUCUUGUGUUCUCCAUCCUACGUCUACUUCCUCUUUCUUCUUCUGUGCUCUCCAUCCUACAUCUACUUCCUCUUUAUUCUUCUUGUGUUCUCCAUCCUACAUCUACUUUCUCUUUCUUCUUCUGUGUUCUCCAUCCUACAUCUACUUCCUCUUUCUUCUUCUGUGCUCUCCAUCCUACAUCUACUUCCUCUUUAUUCUUCUUGUGUUCUCCAUCCUACAUCUACUUCCUCUUUCUUCUUCUGUGCUCUCAUCCUACAUCUACUUCCUCUUUAUUCUUCUGUGUUCUCCAUCCUACAUCUACUUUCUCUUUCUUCUUCUGUGCUCUCCAUCCUACAUCUACUUCCUCUUUAUUCUUCUUGUGUUCUCCAUCCUACAUCUACUUCCUCUUUCUUCUUCUGUGCUCUCCAUCCUACAUCUACUUCCUCUUUAUUCUUCUUGUGUUCUCCAUCCUACAUCUACUUUCUCUUUCUUCUUCUGUGUUCUCCAUCCUACAUCUACUUCCUCUUUAUUCUUGUGUUCUCCAUCCUACAUCUACUUCCUCUUUAUUCUUGUGUUCUCCAUCCUACAUCUACUUCCUCUUUAUUCUUGUGUUCUCCAUCCUACAUCUACUUUCUCUUUCUUCUUCUGUGUUCUCCAUCCUACAUCUACUUCCU
rnacentral:lncRNA from 1 species